rnacentral:lncRNA from 1 species
AACUGAAAGGCAAGGACAUCACAGAAGUGAUUGCAUCUGGAAGGGAGAAGUUUGCCGCUGUGCCUUCAGGUGGGGGUGCCAUUGCUGUGGGAGCUCCAGCUGCUGCAUCUGGUGGUGGCGCAGCACCUGCUGCUGAGUCAAAGGAGGAGAAGGUUGAAGAGAAGGAAGAAUCUGAUGAAGUAAGUAUUUUUCCACCUUGCAAUGGUUUCUCAGUUACUUUAGUUCUGCGCUCCAUAAGUUAUUCUAGCUGGACUUACAUUAUAGCAAGAAUCCAACAUUCAACUUUGUUCAACUGUUGUUGUUGCAAGUAGCGACUUGUUAGUUUUGGCACAACAAUUGCCAUUUUGAAUUCACUGCCUAGUCGCAAGUAGAAGCUGGCAUUCCUUCC